rnacentral:rRNA from 1 species
GUGCAGUCGAACGGUAACAGGAAGACAGCUUGCUGCUUUGCUGACGAGUGGCGGACGGGUGAGUAAUGUCUGGGAAACUGCCUGAUGGAGGGGGACCCUUAACCUUUACUGGAAACGGUUAGGCUAAUACCGCAUAACAGUCUGCAAGACCUAAAGAGGGGGACCUUCGGGAUGACCUCUUGCCAUCAGAUGUGCCCAGAUGGGAUUAGCUUGUUGCGUGAGGUAACGGCUCACACAAGGCGACGAUCCCUAGCUGGUCUGAGAGGAUGACCAGCCACACUGGAACUGAGACACGGUUCCAGACUCCUACGGGAGGCCAUGCAGUGGGGAAUAUUGCACAAUGGGCGCAAGCCUGAUGCAGCCAUGCCGCGUGUAUGAAGAAGGCCUUCGGGCUUGUAAACACCGUACUUUACAGCGGGGAGGAAGGUGUUGUGAAAGAAGUAGGUAGCUUAACCUU